rnacentral:rRNA from 1 species
GAUGAACGCUAGCGACAGGCUUAACACAUGCAAGUCGAGCGGAAACGACAUUGUAGCUUGCUUCGAUGGUCGUCGACCGGCGCACGGGUGAGUAACGCGUAUCCAACCUGCCUCUGACCAAGGGAUAACCCGUCGAAGGUCUGCCGAAUAACUUAUUCAGGCGGCGGAAGUCACCUGAGGACGACGAAAGAUUUCAUCGGGGAGUGGUGGGGCUGCGUCUGAUUAGCUUGUUGGCGGGGUAACGGCCCACCCAGGCAACGAUCAGCAGGGGGUCUGAGAGGACGGUCCCCCACAUGGGAACAGCGCCACCGACCACACUGCUACGCGACGCAGCAGUGUGGUAUACUGAUCACGGGGCGAGAGCCUGAAACCGCCAAGUCGCGUGCAGGAUGACCGCCCUCUGGGUUGUAUGCUGCUUUUAUGCGGGGAAAGCGUGAGGGACUGGUCCUUCAUUGCCGGUACCGGAUGAAUAAGCACCGGCUAACUCCGUG